rnacentral:lncRNA from 1 species
ACUUCUUGAUGUUGGUAAAUACAAUAAUUGAAAAAUACCACGUUACAUAUAACAUGCAUAUAAUAAUGUACAACACAUUAUGCAGUAUGCUUCUGCUGUGAGGUCCUGCCUGCAUGUACUUAUGCAAUUAAUCGCUAGACGGGUAUAUUUAUAAAUAAUAUUAUAUUAGGGAAAUUUUCCUAUACAUAUUUUUGACCUGGGGGUAGAAUUGAUUGUGAAAUGGAAAAGGAAAUGCUUAUGAACUUACAAAUUAAAACCAUGAUGCAUUUAAGGUAACCCUUUUUCAUUUUUAUUUAAGAAGAAAAUUUGUUGCACUGUGCGAUGGCCGAACCUGUUCCUUUUCGUGGAGAUAAUUUCUCCUGCCUUAAGGAAAAUCCCUUCACAUGGCAUAGAAGAGGCUGGAGUGCAGAAAAACUGGUAGAGAUGCAGUUAUGGCUCCACAAACUAUCAGCCAAAGAGAAUAAAUAAAUUAAAUUGCUGCACAUUUUGUAGACUAACAUUUUAAGAUUAUUUUUUAAAAUAAAAUAUAUCUUUUUGUAACAUUAAAUGUUACGAGUCAAAUGGAUGUUUUUCUAAAGUUAUGUAAUGAUAUUUAUAUUAUGAAAAGCAGAUUUUUGACAUUUUAAGUUUUUCCCGUUUUCAGAUAAAAUAAACACGCACAAAACAAAAGCAAACGGCCAGAACACAAAGCUGGAAAACCCACCCGAUUGACGAGAAUCAACUCAAAAUACUCCCACACAACAGAACCAAAUCUCUCAGUAGAAUGAUCAGUGGUUCGCUAUCGGCCACCAUCAAAACACUCCACAAAUCCCGCAAAUGAUUCACUUCGUUCAAUUUGAAUCAGGUACCGAAGCAGUUACGUGCGUAAUGAAGCUUCGGACGUCACUGGUCACGUGACUUUUGCCAAACGAAGCAAACCUCGACACAGUGCUUCUGAACCAGUGUGUUGUUUUUUUCGACACACGCUCCGGAGCGUCAGCAUCAAGCGGGCCAUCACUACCAUUUAGUGUUCCACUCAGAAAAUCCGCGUGCCUUCAAGAAACUGGUUUCUAUGAAGCUGAACAAACUGCUCGUGUGCGUGCAUGUUUUAUACAUGUGCUAAAUGUAUUUGUGCAGAACAUUGUGUGCUUUGGAGAAACAGCAGAGGAUCAACAAAGGUUCAGUUUUAAAUCCAAACAACAUGGAGAAAAACGUUGUGUACUGCCUGCUGUGCAACGAGCCCCAGCUGUCCAUUUCGACUCACCUGAGCAAAGUGUGCCUGAAAGACGGCACAGCACAGGAGAGGGAGCAAGAAGCUUCCAGAGCUACUGCCUCCCAGGAGCUGUUUUCCAGGGAAGGUCGACUCUAGAGCAUCUCGGAGCUGCAGGAGUUUUGCAAGGACGCAACAUCUUGCAUCAAACUCUGCAGUCGCCUUCAGAGUCGUGGCUUUAUCUUCACAGACGCUCCCCAAACCUGGCCAACAGUGCUGCCAACACCGAGGUCUGA